UAGCCAAUCAGGUCGGCGAAUGGCGCCCGGGGUCUCCUGCGGGAACAGACGGAGACUCGAAUCUACAAGCGGGUGUCGCUGGGCUCGAGUGUUCAGUUGGAAGAAGGUUGCUGCUGGUCGCGUCUGCCGCUGCAAACCUCGCUCACGUUACGCGACUGAACGCGACUAAAGCCGUUAGCCGGCUCAGGCUACUUGCUAACACAAGGGGAUGACAUGCUAAUCCAACUGUCCUGAAAAACACCGGAACGGUCUGGGUCCCUUUUGGCUGGACAUGUCUCACAGACUGACCAAGGAGGAGCUGGACGAAGAGUUUGACCUGUUCCUGAAGGAGGUCGGUGACGCUGCGGCGGCGGUAGACCACCACACACUGGACUAGAUAUUCCAGUUGAGAAUGUCCCUCUGGGACAGUAAAUGUAGAACCUGGGACACAACGAUGCAGUGAGACACAAUUCUAUGCACAGACAAAAUACAGAGAUGGUCAAACUGCAUCCCCCGUGCUCCCACCCAGAAUCAAUCCAGAGCGAGGGACUCGUAUGAGAAGGACCUCCUCAACAAUUUCAACUGUCACAUUGUUUUCUGGUCACAAGAGGUGAAGAUCUAAUAACUCACUGUGAUUGACUGACAGGUCAACACCCCGGCGUUGUCCGUGCUUUCAUCUUCGAACUUUGACCCUUUCACAGUGUUUAUUGUUAAAAGGAUCCCCAUUCGCUGUGACCAAAGUGGGAGGAGCUAAUCUUCCUGCAGUUCAACAAAAAGAAAAAUCACUUAACGACAAUAAACUAAAAGCAGUAAAACAUUGUAUCAUUAUAAACAUCAUCAGAACUAUUUCACAAUAAGUUAUUAUAGUAUUACAUUCAUACAGUAAAUAUGUCCAUUCCCUACUCACAAUUUUAAGUGCAUUCUCUCUCAGAUAGUACUUGAUAGAGACUUUAUUAUUCAUUUUACGUAUAUUAUUAUUAUAUAUUAGUUAUAUAAGAAAACCGGUUGAGAAGAAAAGACGACGUGUGAAAAGCAGCCUGUUCUCUACUGUGCAUACUGAUCGCCGUCGUUCUUAUGGGACAUUGUAAGACUAACCUGGCAGCUCUGUUUGGGGCAGUUUGUAAUUAUUUUAUUUGACCUUUAGAUUCAGAUGACCAUACAGGUGCACAAUAAUCUAAGCGACAUAGAAUUAGAGGUUUGGCCACCUGUUCCACAAUGUGUGAAGGGACAUAAAGACAUUUCCUCACUAUAGAGAUCCUACAACCCAUCUUCACUAUGGGGUCAAUAUGUUGUUCCCAUGACGGCUGAUUGUACCUAGUAAUUAGACUUUAUCUACCGGUUAUCUAUAGGUUGCCCAGACAAGUGCAAACUCAUCUUUGGUGUAGAUGACAGCUCAUGACUCCAUCCCAAGAUUUGGUUUUCGAGAUGUUCAGUACCAAUUUAUUUUGUUUUAUCCAAUCAAAAACCACAUUUAAAUCAGCUGAUAAAACAUUGUCCAGUUCACUGACAGUUCUUGCAGCAUAAUACAACGUGGAAUCAUCAGCAUACAUUUGUACAGUUGCUUUACACAAUACUGAUGGAAGAUCAUUUGUGAAGAUGGCGUAUUAGAGUGGUCCAAGGCAGAUCCCUUGCGGGACUCCGCAAUCCAAGACCUUGGAGUCAGACCAGCUGCCGAUGUAAUAAACCCGUUGUGCUCUAUUUGUAAGAGUAAGACUCUUCACAAAUAACCAUCUGACUGCUGUCCGGGUUCAGUUUCUCAUUGAUCAUUACAUUACAGGUCAUUUUAGCAGACGCUUUUAUCCAAAGCGACUGACAUUACACUUUAAACCCAUGGCUUUUUCACAUUUUUGCCCGGGGAGCAAUUAGGGGUUAGGUGUCUUGCUCAGGGACACUUCGACAUGGAACAUGGGGCAGCCUGGACUCAAACCACCAACCUUGUGCUUCCCAGCACACCUCUAACCCCUGCGCCACGACGAUCACACACCUGACUGUCCUCAGUCUCCUUCCAGCUUUCAUCCACAACAAGGUUAUUCCUUCUUGUUUGACCCUCCAAGUAGUCCGCUUUCUCCGUCAUCUCGGUCAUAUUCCCCUGCAGUGGAUUGUUCUCAAUCAAUUUUCUCAUUUUCUUUGUUCAAUCAUCCAUGUCUUUCUGAGAGAAUUGCAGGCUGCUUCUCAGCUCCUGUGUCUCCCUGGUCAAUUUGUCAACCUGAGUGCUCACAUUGUUCACAAAUAAUUCCACAAGAGUCUUGAAGUUGCAUGAACGGAUCCCUUUGUUGACUCCAACUCCUCUCUAUUAUCUCAUCUGCUCUGGUGCCUCUUGGACGGCACGGUCCACCAAAGAUCUCAAAGUAUGAAGAUCAUCCACUGCUUUCCACUAGUUUACUUAUAAAAUAUAGUGUCAGAGUGAAUAAUUAAACAAUGCAAGUUUUUAAAACACUUUAAAUGUAUCAGGAGCUGCUGAGUCCAGUGUGUUCAUGAUCUAACUCCCCCGUCCUCUUUCAUACAGCCUGUGAUGUGCGCUGGAGAUACCGUUCCACUGCUUCCUGCGGUGAUAACAGGAGGCAUUGGCACCCACAGUCCACAACAACGCACAUCGCCUAAUCGCUCUGAAUUCAUCAAGCAGAAGCACAAAGAGGCUGAACCUAAACCUGAUUUCCCGUCAGUCCGUUUCAGAUGACUCGGACAAGCAGCCCGGCCCUAAAAGCAAACCCUGGUGGCAGGAUGAGCAGCACAGCGGGGGAGCAUCAGGGGGAAAAGAGGUGUGAUGCCGCGCUGGAAUGAACAUCUGGUGGCUUGUUUGUUGUGUCCAGACCGGACCGUCUGCCUAAUAUCAGCCCAGGUUGUUUUAAGCCGACCCAAUCAAACAUCACUCACAGCCCCGAUGAAGCACAUGUGCCGUCGCUUCUGGAAUGUUUGAUGUUAUGAAGGAAUAAAACUGGAAAGAUUCCUCACUUUUCUGUGGAUGUCCAUGGGUGACCCAGAAAGCUGAAUCCUCCUGCUCGAGGAGCUCUGCCGGUGGUGCCUGCAUGUACCAGAAUGUACCAGAAUGCAUUGCGCACACAUUUUUGGCCAUCAUGCUCUGUACUGCAUCCUGGAUUCGCCUGGAAUCACUGCGGCUACGGAGUAUCCGCGUCCGCCAAAGCAUCCCGGUCCCUAACAUCUUAUUCACUCGUGUUCUGUGCACUAGGGCUGUCAACCCAGAGGGUCCAGGAUGGUUCUGAGCAUCCCCCUUCAUCACAAGGGAGCCCUCGAUCAAUGCAAUCUCAGUCACUACAGCACGUACCGUUCACUUUACCUUCUACACCGAUUGGACAUGCAUAUUAAGGGGCCCAUUUCUCUUUUUCAAAUCCAAAUGACAACGCUGCUGUUGCACCAGCUCUUUGUAUGUUCAACUGUGAAGAAGAGUUGGAUGUAACUGAGGAUACAAAGUUCUUCUGUAUUUACAGGACGGAGCGGUGCCAAAGAUGGUAACUAUUAUUAGGAUAUGCAGUCACGUAGGAUGGGAAUAACUUAUUACAGAAGCUGUUUGGUGAAUUAAUGGAUUUGCAUUUUUUUCGUAUUGAUAUUUAAUUCAAUACGAUAUUGAUAAUUCAAUAUGAUAUUGAUAUUUGGGUUUUGGAGUAUUGGUCAAACAAAAAGGGCUCCCCGGCUCAGAUUGAGGUUCCCAAUAGAAACCAAAGUGUAUUUUUGGACCAUCCUACUCAUCAAGUUGGAAUUCCUCUUUCUGUCUAACUUUCCACUUGUGAAGCAUCUCUCCUCAACACCCAAUCCAACACUUUCUUUCUCCUGCUUCAGGACUCGGGUCCCUGAACUGACCAGUAAAAUGCACAAUGCAAAUGGUCAUUUGACUAGUCGAUUCUCCAGGGGCCUCAUUUAUAAAAGCUUGCGUAGGAUUUGCACCAGAAGUGUCGUACGGAUGAAACGUAGGACGUGCGUACGCACAGAAAUAUUCAGACUUAUAAAACGUCCUACGCAGUUUUCCCUUAAUAAAUCACAAUCACUUCUAAAUGCAGCGCAGCUUUUGCGGCUUCAUGUCGCGCCCACAGUUGCCCAUAUAUAGUCUGUGGAACGCCCACAAAUUAAUAUUCAUCGAUUGCGAAAUGAUGACAAACACUGAGAGGAAAAUGAAGAAACGUAACUUCACUCAGUGUGAAGUGGAAAUGAUCAUUGGGAGGUGGGAAGGAGGAGUAAGAUGCUAUUUGGAGGACACAGUGUGGA
ensembl:lncRNA